GACGAACGCUGGCGGCGUGCUUAACACAUGCAAGUCGAACGGAAAGGCCCUGCUUUUGUGGGGUGCUCGAGUGGCGAACGGGUGAGUAACACGUGAGUAACCUGCCCUUGACUUUGGGAUAACUUCAGGAAACUGGGGCUAAUACCGGAUAGGAGCUCCUGCUGCAUGGUGGGGGUUGGAAAGUUUCGGCGGUUGGGGAUGGACUCGCGGCUUAUCAGCUUGUUGGUGGGGUAGUGGCUUACCAAGGCUUUGACGGGUAGCCGGCCUGAGAGGGUGACCGGCCACAUUGGGACUGAGAUACGGCCCAGACUCCUACGGGAGGCAGCAGUGGGGAAUAUUGCACAAUGGGCGGAAGCCUGAUGCAGCAACACCGCGUGCGGGAUGACGGCCUUCGGGUUGUAAACCGCUUUCGCCUGUGACGAAGCGUGAGUGACGGUAAUGGGUAAAGAAGCACCGGCUAACUACGUGCCAGCAGCCGCGGUGAUACGUAGGGUGCGAGCGUUGUCCGGAUUUAUUGGGCGUAAAGGGCUCGUAGGUGGUUGAUCGCGUCGGAAGUGUAAUCUUGGGGCUUAACCCUGAGCGUGCUUUCGAUACGGGUUGACUUGAGGAAGGUAGGGGAGAAUGGAACUCCUGGUGGAGCGGUGGAAUGCGCAGAUAUCAGGAGGAACACCAGUGGCGAAGGCGGUUCUCUGGGCCUUUCCUGACGCUGAGGAGCGAAAGCGUGGGGAGCGAACAGGCUUAGAUACCCUGGUAGUCCACGCUGUAAACGGUGGGUACUAGGUGUGGGGUCCAUUCCACGGGUUCCGUGCCGUAGCUAACGCUUUAAGUACCCCGCCUGGGGAGUACGGCCGCAAGGCUAAAACUCAAAGGAAUUGACGGGGCCCCGCACAAGCGGCGGAGCAUGCGGAUUAAUUCGAUGCAACGCGUAGAACCUUACCUGGGUUUGACAUGGAUCGGGAGUGCUCAGAGAUGGGUGUGCCUCUUUUGGGGUCGGUUCACAGGUGGUGCAUGGCUGUCGUCAGCUCGUGUCGUGAGAUGUUGGGUUAAGUCCCGCAACGAGCGCAACCCUUGUUCACUGUUGCCAGCACGUUAUGGUGGGGACUCAGUGGAGACCGCCGGGGUCAACUCGGAGGAAGGUGGGGAUGACGUCAAGUCAUCAUGCCCCUUAUGUCCAGGGCUUCACGCAUGCUACAAUGGCUGGUACAGAGAGUGGCGAGCCUGUGAGGGUGAGCGAAUCUCGGAAAGCCGGUCUCAGUUCGGAUUGGGGUCUGCAACUCGACCUCAUGAAGUCGGAGUCGCUAGUAAUCGCAGAUCAGCAACGCUGCGGUGAAUACGUUCCCGGGGCU
rnacentral:rRNA from 1 species